rnacentral:lncRNA from 1 species
CCAGUGUGCUGUGUUCAGACUCAGCCGCGAUUUUAACACAUCAUUUUGUUGCGGAAGCCCAGGAAACUGUGGGGUCCAGCACAAGUGGUGAGAUCAUACCCAUGUGGACCGUCACCGAGUUGGGUUCCUACCAUCGACCGCAGUCCACAACCGCAGCUGCCGUGAGUGCAGAGGCUACAACCGCAGCCAGCGAUGGGUUCACAGCCUCGUGGGCUGCCACAGAGAGGACCCCAGUCUCCAACCAUGGCGGCUGUGAGUGUGGGCUUGCCACCGCCACUCAGCUACAACUGCCACCAGCGGAGCUGGCCAGAACUCUCGCUGCCUGGCAGAACUUCUGACAGGGCUGCUGUGCUCGCAGGCUGGGAGCAGUGCAACAAGCGACAUUCCCAGCUCUCAGAUGGUUGCUACAGGAAUCACAGGAUUACCAGCUGCUGCCCACAGAGGAGCCACUGUCUACAGAGGAACCUGAUGCGAAGGUUUACCAAGUAGAUCCCAAUGGUGAAAGCCAGCUACACCCCAAAAUGAAUGAAGCCCCGAGACAGCAGGAAGCAGCUUAAGAGACAAGACACCCUUAGUCCCUUUUCUUUCCUUCUCUUUAUAAUAACAAGAAGGGAGGUAUGUUGGCAUCAGGACCUCCCAAACCUAUGACAUCACAUAGGUGACAAUGUGACCUAUAGAUUCGUCAAGACAACAGCUACCACAUUCUCAGAAUCUGCUUGGCUCACCUCCCACCUUUAUCUGCAUUAAGUCAUUUUCCAUAUGAAUAAGGGGAAUGCCCCUCCUUCUCUGUCUUUCCUCCCUUUUCUUUCUGCUGCUAUCUUACCCCUCUUCCCCCCAAAUAAACCUCUUACACAUGGAA